AAACCAACAGGGAUUGCCUUAGUAGCGGCGAGUGAAGCGGCAAAAGCUCAAAUUUGAAAUCUGGCUCUUUCAGAGUCCGAGUUGUAAUUUGAAGAAGGUAUCUUUGGGUCUGGCUCUUGUCUAUGUUUCUUGGAACAGAACGUCACAGAGGGUGAGAAUCCCGUGCGAUGAGAUGAUCCAGGCCUAUGUAAAGUUCCUUCGAAGAGUCGAGUUGUUUGGGAAUGCAGCUCUAAGUGGGUGGUAAAUUCCAUCUAAAGCUAAAUAUUGGCGAGAGACCGAUAGCGAACAAGUACAGUGAUGGAAAGAUGAAAAGAACUUUGAAAAGAGAGUGAAAAAGUACGUGAAAUUGUUGAAAGGGAAGGGCUUGAGAUCAGACUUGGUAUUUUGUAUGUUACUUCUUCGGGGGUGGCCUCUACAGUUUAUCGGGCCAGCAUCAGUUUGGGCGGUAGGAGAAUUGCGUUGGAAUGUGGCACGGCUUCGGUUGUGUGUUAUAGCCUUCGUCGAUACUGCCAGCCUAGACUGAGGACUGCGG
rnacentral:rRNA from 1 species